GCGCCUGUAGCUCAGCGGAUUAGAGCGAUGGCCUCCGGAGCCAUAGGUCGCAGGUCCGAAUCCUGCCAGGCGCGCCA
rnacentral:tRNA from 1 species